rnacentral:rRNA from 1 species
GACGAACGCUGGCGGCGUGCUUAACACAUGCAAGUCGAGCGAACAGACCAGGAGUUUUCCCCUGUGACGUUAGGGGCAGACGGGUGAGUACCACGUAGAUACCCGACCUAUAAGUCUGGAUUAACGUUGGGAAACCGGAGUUAAUAGCGGAUUAUAUACUGUACCGCAUGGUUUGAUAGGGAAAGACGGGUUUGCUGUGUGUUAUAGAUGGAUAGGGGCCGCCUUAGCUUGUUGGUAAGGUUACGGCUUACCCAGGCCACGAUGUGUAGCCGCCCCGGGCGGGGGGUCGGCCACACUAGAACGGAGGCGCGGUCGCGACUCCUACGGGAGGCAGCAGUAGGGGAGGUUACGGAAUGGGCGAAGGCAUGAUGGUGCAGCGCCGCGUGGUGGAUGAAGGUCUUCUGCGCGUAAAGCUCUGUUUUUGGGGAUGAAGAAAUGUGUAAGUUUCGAUGCGCGGUUUGACGUUACCUAGUCAGAAAGCGACGGCUAACUACGUG